rnacentral:rRNA from 1 species
CCUACGGGGUGCAGCAGUGGGGAAUAUUGCACAAUGGGCGCAAGCCUGAUGCAGCCUUGCCGCGUGUAUGAAGAAGGCCUUCGGGUUGUAAAGUACUUUCAGCGGGGAGGAAGGUGUUGUGGUUAAUAACCACAGCAAUUGACGUUACCCGCAGAAGAGGCACCGGCUAACUCCGUGCCAGCAGCCGCGGUAAUACGGAGGGUGCAAGCGUUAAUCGGAAUUACUGGGCGUAAAGCGCACGCAGGCGGUCUGUCGAGUCGGAUGUGAAAUCCCCGGGCUCAACCUGGGAACUGCAUUCGAAACUGGCAGGCUAGAGUCUUGUAGAGGGGGGUAGAAUUCCAGGUGUAGCGGUGAAAUGCGUAGAGAUCUGGAGGAAUACCGGUGGCGAAGGCGGCCCCCUGGACCAAGACUGACGCUCAGGUGCGAAAGCGUGGGGAGCAAACAGGAUUAGAUACCCGGGUAGUC